rnacentral:rRNA from 1 species
UACAGAGGUCUCAAGCGUUGUUCGGAUUCAUUGGGCGUAAAGGGUGUGUAGGUGGCGCCGUAAGUCGGGUGUGAAAUUUCGGAGCCUUAACUCCGGAAACUGCAUUCGAUACUGCGGUGCUUGAGGACUGGAGAGGAGACUGGAAUUCAUGGUGUAGCAGUGAAAUGCGUAGAUAUCAGGAGGAACACCCGUGGCGAAGGCGGCUCUCUGGGUCGGACCUGACGCUGAGGCGCGAAAGCGUGGGGAGCGAACGGGAU